rnacentral:rRNA from 1 species
AUUGAACGCUGGCGGCAUGCUUUACACAUGCAAGUCGAACGGCAGCGCGGGGCAACCUGGCGGCGAGUGGCGAACGGGUGCGUAAUAUAUCGGAACGUACCCAGAAGUGGGGGAUAACGUAGCGAAAGUUACGCUAAUACCGCAUACGAUCUACGGAUGAAAGUAGGGGACCGCAAGGCCUUAUGCUUUUGGAGCGGCCGAUAUCUGAUUAGCUAGUUGGUGAGGUAAAGGCUCGCCAAGGCGACGAUCAGUAGCUGGUCUGAGAGGACGACCAGCCACACUGGAACUGAGACACGGUCCAGACUCCUACGGGAGGCAGCAGUGGGGAAUUUUGGACAAUGGGCGCAAGCCUGAUCCAGCAAUGCCGCGUGAGUGAAGAAGGCCUUCGGGUUGUAAAGCUCUUUUGUCAGGGAAGAAACGGUAGAGGCUAAUAUCCUUUGCUAAUGACGGUACCUGAAGAAUAAGCACCGGCUAACUACGUG